rnacentral:rRNA from 1 species
UGGGGAAUCUUGGACAAUGGGCGCAAGCCUGAUCCAGCCAUGCCGCGUGGAUGAUGAAGGCCUUAGGGUUGUAAAAUCCUUUCGCCGAGGACGAUAAUGACGGUACUCGGAGAAGAAGCUCCGGCUAACUUCGUGCCAGCAGCCGCGGUAAUACGAAGGGGGCUAGCGUUGUUCGGAUUUACUGGGCGUAAAGCGCGUGUAGGCGGGUUGGAAAGUUGGGGGUGAAAUCCCGAGGCUCAACCUCGGAACUGCCUCCAAAACUUCCAGCCUGGACUCAAGUAGAGGCAAGUGGAAUUGCGAGUGUAGAGGUGAAAUUCGUAGAUAUUCGCAGGAACACCAGUGGCGAAGGCGACUUGCUGGACUUGUAGUGACGCUGAGACGCGAAAGCGUGGGGAGCAAACAGGAUUAGAUACCCAUGUAGUCCCUGAGCGGGCUGGCAAGGCGCAU